UACGGGGGGGGCAAGCGUUGUUCGGAAUUACUGGGCGUAAAGGGCUCGUAGGCGGCCCACUAAGUCGGACGUGAAAUCCCCGGGCUUAACCUGGGAACUGCAUUUGUGACUGGCGGGCUAGAGUAUGGCAGAGGGGGGUAGAAUUCCACGUGUAGCAGUGAAAUGCGUAGAGAUGUGGAGGAAUACCGAUGGCGAAGGCAGCCCCCUGGGCCAAUACUGACGCUCAUGCACGAAAGCGUGGGGAGCAAACAGG
rnacentral:rRNA from 1 species